CACCGCGGUUAUACGAGAGGCCCAAGUUGAUAAAUAACGGCGUAAAGAGUGGUUAAUAAAUAUGAAUACUAAGGCCGAACGCCUCCGAGACUGUUAUACGUAUCUGAAGGAAGGAAGAACCCCCACGAAAGUGGCUUUAAACAUAUGACCCCACGAAAGCUAGGACC
rnacentral:rRNA from 1 species